GGAGUUCUCCCUGGGGGGUACCUGACCACCCCCCCGACACUUGCCCCCCUCCACCAGCUCAGUGCCUCCACUCAUCCGCCUGCCGCAAACAUGAGAGCGCCAAGGCAUAUGCCCACUUGUUCUCCUUUGAGUCUACAAAACAACUGACUACAGUGUUGCCAUUCCCCCACAUCCUGGCUCUUUGUGGAUUACUGAGAACCCUGGGAAUGGAUAUAACUGCCGUUUAUUAUGCAGCUGAGAGGAACAGGGGCAGGUCUGAACCAGGGCAAGACGACUCUCAAGAUUUCAACAGCAUCUCACUGUGUAUUAUUGACUGCAAACUCCGGAAGCUAUGCACAGAUGCUCACCGUUCAGGGGAGUCGAUGGGUAGAGUCAACGAUGCAGGACUACCCCCACCGCGGUGAAUGGCCCAGCGCCUGUGCCCACAGCAUGCGCAAACACAGCAUGAGAGCUGCAUUUAAGAGAAGCAGGCCCUGAAGAGAAGGAUUAAGAGCUAGAAAUGAUUCAAGAAAAGGGAAAACCUGCUGACGGGUGCGUCUGGGGAUGUGGUGCGGGGGACGCCCAACCAGCUCUGACGACAGAGACGCACAUCUACACCCAGCCCACUGCAAAGACGCUUGAUUCUAAAAACAGCCCACAACUCAUCUGGCUGAGACCAUAGAAACACAGGUGUCGGAGGGUAAACUGAUGCCCUGGAAGGGCACUGAAAGUGGAGGACAGCCAGGGACCACAGGGGAGCUGCGGAUACACAGCUCUCCUGGCAGGAUGCAGAUUCUGCGCUCUGAACAUGCAGCAGACACCGAGCUGGGACACCUGCAGAAAAGGAACACGGAGACCCAG